UAUAUUUAGUAUGUAAUUCAUGAUAUAAUUCCAUCUGCACAGCUACUUGUCUGUCUCUAAGUUUGCACGGAACUGGCAGAUCGACCAAUAGUGGGUGCAGUUUUGUCAAGAACUUUGAUGAUUAAAUCGGAUAGACCAAGUAGUGGAAGAGACACCGGUGAAGAUGAGAUCGCAGAACAAAGGCCUUUGCUUGUAACAGAUAUCAACUUUUUAAAUGCAUCUUGUGCCUGAAGAUCUUCCAAACACUUGAGUAGGCACCAUUAAAGUUCUUAUCAACCCUGCAGGAGUAAUGAUGGUAACUAAAUUUACCACUCUCUUCAAUGGUGCUUGAACUGAACAGAGGAGCUGCCACCAUCAUUUUAAUGCAUUAUAGAUUUAUAGUACCGAGGUCAUCUUUCCUUUUAUGUAGAUGUGUAGGUUGCUGUUUUUGUAGGUGAUGCUCUCUUGUAGAAAUGCUCCUGUUUAUGUUUUUUGUAUGUAUGUUUUUUUUGUUAUGGUUUUACAUUUGAAGGGUAUGAGAUUAGAUUAUUAGAUUUCUUGUGAUUA